rnacentral:rRNA from 1 species
AAAAACAUCGCCUCCUGCAAAAAUCAAUGUAUAAGAGGUCCUACCUGCCCAGUGAUAAAUUAAACGGCCGCGGUAUUUUGACCGUGCAAAGGUAGCGCAAUCACUUGUUUUUUAAAUAAAGACCUGUAUGAAUGGUGAAACGAGGGCUUAACUGUCUCCCUUUUCUGAUCAGUGAAAUUGAUCUACCCGUGCAGAAGCGGGUAUAAAAAUACAAGACGAGAAGACCCUAUGGAGCUUAAGACACAAAAUCAUCUAUGUUAAGUACCCCCAUUAAAAGAAUAAAACAAAACAGCAACUGAUUAGCGUCUUCGGUUGGGGCGACCACGGGGGAAAACCAAUCCCCCACGUGGAACGGGACAAAUCCUAGAACCAUGAGGUACACCUCUAAGUCACAGAACCUCUGACCAAAUGAUCCGGCAAAUAGCCGAUCAACGAACCAAGUUACCCUAGGGAUAACAGCGCAAUCCCCUCCAAGAGUUCAUAUCGACAAGGGGGUUUACGACCUCGAUGUUGGAUCAGGACAUCCUAAUGGUGCAGCCGCUAUUAAGGGUUCGUUUGUUCAACGAUUAAAGUCCUACGUGAUCUGAG